UGGGGAAUAUUGCACAAUGGGCGCAAGCCUGAUGCAGCAACGCCGCGUGGAGGAAGACGGUUUUCGGAUUGUAAACUCCUGUUCUUAGUGAAGAAUAAUGACGGUAGCUAAGGAGCAAGCCACGGCUAACUACGUGCCAGCAGCCGCGGUAAUACGUAGGUGGCAAGCGUUGUCCGGAUUUACUGGGGUGUAAAGGGCGCGUAGGCGGGAUGGCAAGUCAGAUGUGAAAUCCAUGGGCUCAACCCAUGAACUGCAUUUGAAACUGUCGUUCUUGAGUAUCGGAGAGGCAAGCGGAAUUCCUAGUGUAGCGGUGAAAUGCGUAGAUAUUAGGAGGAACACCAGUGGCGAAGGCGGCUUGCUGGACGACAACUGACGCUGAGGCGCGAAAGCGUGGGGAGCAAACA
rnacentral:rRNA from 1 species